rnacentral:rRNA from 1 species
AUUGAACGCUGGCGGCAGGCUUAACACAUGCAAGUCGAGCGAGCGGCGGACGGGUGAGUAAUGUCUGGGGAACUGCCUGAUGGAGGGGGAUAACUACUGGAAACGGUGGCUAAUACCGCAUACCAUCAGAUGAACCCAACGGGGAUUAGCUAGUAGGUGGGGUAAUGGCUCACCUAGGCGACGAUCUCUAGCUGGUCUGAGAGGAUGACCAGCCACACUGGAACUGAGACAAGGUCCAGACUCCUACGGGAGGCAGCAGUGGGGAAUAUUGCACAAUGGGCGCAAGCCUGAUGCAGCCAUGCCGCGUGUAUGAAGAAGGCCUUAGGGUUGUAAAGUACUUUCAGCGAGGAGGCGUUACUCGCAGAAGAAGCACCGGCUAACUCCGUGCCAGCAGCCGCGGUAAUUC